GAUGAACGCUGGCGGCGUGCCUAAUACAUGCAAGUCGAGCGAACAGACGAGGAGCUUGCUCCUCUGACGUUAGCGGCGGACGGGUGAGUAACACGUGGAUAACCUACCUAUAAGACUGGGAUAACUUCGGGAAACCGGCGCUAAUACCGGAUAAUAUCUUGAACCGCAUGGUUCAAUAGUGAAAGACGGUUUUGAUGUCACUUAUCGAUGGAUCCGCGCUGCAUUAGCUAGUUGGUAAGGUAACGGCUUACCAAGGCAACGAUGCGUAGCCGACCUGCGAGGGUGAUCGGCCACACUGGAACUGAGACACGGUCCAGACUCCUGCGGGAGGCAGCAGUAGGGAAUCUUCCGCAAUGGGCGAAAGCCUGACGGAGCAACGCCGCGUGAGUGAUGAAGGUCUUCGGAUCGUAAAACUCUGUUAUUAGGGAAGAACAGAUGUGUAAGUAACUGUGGACGUCGUGACGGUACCUAAUCAGAAAGCCACGGCUAACUACGUG
rnacentral:rRNA from 1 species